UGGAGUUGUGGCUCAGUGGUAGAGUGCUUGCCUAACGUGUGAGGCACUGGGUUCAAUUCUCAGCACUGUAU
rnacentral:tRNA from 1 species